UAAUCUUAUUAAUUUCCGAACCCGGCAACCGACGAGCACGUCCGCGCACCUGAACUCGCACCGCAUCCGGUGAGGACGGACCAUUAUAACGCUAUCCCGCAAACCGUGAGAGUGAGCCGCGAACCGAACCGAUCCGACACGUAACCGUUUUAACGAGAUAGAUGUCUGCCGGGCUGAAGGCUUGCAAUUAAGAUCCUGGGAUCUUAACCUGAGAUCUCACCUGAGAUGGAGGAUGGCCAUCUACAAUCGAGAGAUGGGAUGGAUCGAGAGACCUCUUCCUAUUCGAACUCCUACUACUGAUGCAGCGAGGAGCCCAACUGAAGCAGCAGAGUCAGUUGAAGGACGAAGGACCAACUCGAGACCACACUCACCGCCUGGCACAAAUCUAACAAUCUGACAUCGAAAUAAUCGUCGGUGAUUUUAACGCAAAAAUUGGAAACUACAAUGACGGCUUGAGGCAUGUCAUGGGCAAGUACUCCCGAAUAUGACGAUAGAUAACGGAAAUCGAUUAAUCAAUAUCUGCUCUAGCCAGCAGUUAUGCAUCGGCAGCACGAAGUUUCCUUACAAAAACAUAUACAAAUAUACAUGACAGUCACUGGACGAACUAGAAACCAAAUCGACCUAUCCUGAUAAGUAGGAAGGUUCUCAAUUUGUUACUUGAUACUAAACUAAACGCAGCGCGAUCAUAGGCAGUAAUUAUCAGCUGUUAAUGGGAACUAUCAGAUUGCGAUUAGCCGCUUUUCGGAUAGGAAAAAAUUUGUCAAACGAUUCAAUGUUAACAGGCUGAGAGAUCCUGCCGUGAUAGAGGCCUUCGACCAGCGCCUCGAAAGGGAACAGGAACUCGAGAGUCAGCUCUGGACUAGAAGCAUAUUGAGUUCGUGUUGUAGAGUGGCCGAGGAAACACUGGGAUUCAUGAGACGUAAUAGCAAACUAUGGAUCAGGAGGUUAUGUGGUUUAAAAUCGAGCGUAGAUGAGCAAAAGUUCGACUGGAUCAACAUCCAGAAGAUCUGGAUUGGGAAGCGAGAAUAGUAUAACAACCUUGAGUGAUCUGUUUAACCGAUUAUGAAGACAAACACAGGUUUUACAACGACAUCACAAGUAAAGUUGAAAGAGCCGCGAAUCAAGGAGAUAUACAUAGGCACGUAGGCAUAUACAUGGCAAUCUGUAAACUGUCGGGGAAGAGCAUCCCCUCCUGUCCUCCACUCAAAUCCGAAAACGGUCGCACAUUAACAACAGACGGAACAGUCGAUGGAAUGAGUUUUUCUCCUCCCAGGCAUCUCGCCGCGAAGAAUCGAGUCCGUUGCAGCUACCACAAUGCCCGCCGUGACAUUCUUAUAAAAGUUCCCUGAGAGAGAUGGAAUCCGCCAUCAAGAAGUUGAAAUCCCAAAACAAAGUCCCAGGUGGUCGCCGAACUACUUAAAUGCAAUCCGCGAUGCAUGGCGAGAGUUCUUCCCUAAUCCGUGAUGCCUGAAACAUGAGGUGUGUCCCAGACCGUUGAAAGAAUGGGGUAAUUAUCACAAUCCCUAAAAAGGAUGACUUAAGUCUAUGCAGGAACUAGUGGGGCUAUUGAACUUACGCUAUUAAACUCGAUUGAAAAGCUGCUCGUGACCAUCAUCCAUCCGUCUGAUUCCCAUGAUGGACGAACUGCUCUGGCCAAACCAGGUCGGUUUUCGCAAGGAACGUUCAUGCACAGAUCAGAUCAACAUCUUAAGGAUAAUCAUAGAGCAGUCAAUGGAAUGGCGGUCACCUUCUAUCUCCUCUUUGAUUUUGAUGAUGGCUUUUGACACGCUGGAUCGAGAGGCUAUUUGGAGGACACUGGAAAAUCUGAGAGUCCCGGAGUCGUUAUCAUCGAGUCGAUUCGUGGUGUAUCGAGGUGUACUCAUCCACUACAUGCAGGGUUCAACACCAUGGUGCAGGAGGCGAGCUAUUCAUCAUCUCGACGGGAGUCAGGCAAGGAUACAUUCUAUCGUCCUUCUUGUUCCUAGUCGCGCUUGAUAAUACUGGAACGCAUCAACGUCGAGGCCCCUAAUGGCAUUUAAUUCACGCUGAACAUCCGGCUGUACGAUCUAGGCUACGGAUAACUAGUGUUGAUGUCCAACAGCUAUGGCCGCAUCAAAGAAAAAUUGGAUCGGUUGCAGCACAAUGCUGAGAAGGACUGGGAAUCAAGAAGACAAAACCAAGAAGACAAAAGUAAUGCGAAUAGGCACAAGUAACCAGCUAUUGCUUCUUAGCAGCGACGUAAUUGACAACGUCGAUGAUUUCUGUUAUUUCGGCGCCAUUGUGAACAAAAUAGGAGGCAGACAUUGAGAACCGUAUCAAUCGUGCUCGGGAUGCUUAUUUCGCCUUAGGCAAGAUGUGGAAGUCAAACUUUAUGUCCAGAAACUUAUGUCUCAAGUUCCGCGUCUUCGAUGUUUGCGUUAUUAGCAUUCUUCUCUAUAGAUGCGAAACAUGGGAAAAGCACCAAAAUCUCAGACGCCUCGAAACAUUUAUCAACAGAUGUCUGCGUCACAUAUUCCGUGUUUUUUGGCCUAAUUGCAUCUCUAAUAUCGAACUGUUACGGCUAGCCAAUAAUUGAUGCCCGCUUGCCAAGGAAGAUUACGCCAAAAAUGGCGAUAGAUUGGACAUACAUUCCGACGCCCCACCGGAGACAUCGCCAAAACUACACUUGACUGAAAGGCAAUCCUCAAGGCAAUCGACGUUCCGGCCGACCGAGCAAUACAUGGCGCCGUAAUCGAUCAAGAAGUCGCAAGCAAAAGCAAAACAUAGCGACAGUUGGAGAUGAUGGCGGGGAACCGAGAGGCUUGGAAGAUCUGGAUUGACGCGCAAUGCGCCUAAGGGGCGCGAUUGCUACUGCUUAAUGAACCGGAGGUUAUAAUUUUUAUGUAACAUUUGUUUUUCUGAAUUAAACCAUGUAACAAGUA
rnacentral:misc_RNA from 1 species